UGAGGAAUAUUGCGCAAUGGGCGAAAGCCUGACGCAGCGACGCCGCGUGGAGGAUGAAGGUUUUCGGAUUGUAAACUCCUGUUAAGUGGGAAGAAACGACAAAAUAUAAUACAUUUUUGUAACUGACGGCACCAUUAAAGAAAGCACCGGCUAACUUCGUGCCAGCAGCCGCGGUAAUACGAGGGGUGCAAGCGUUAUUCGGAAUUAUUGGGCGUAAAGGGUGCGUAGGCGGCGUAUUAAGUCAACUGUUAAAACCUCCAGCCUAACUGGAGAUCAGCAGUAGAUACUGGUAUGCUAGAGGAUGGAAGAGAGAAGUGGAAUUCUUGGAGUAGCGGUGGAAUGCGUAGAUCUCAAGAGGAACACCAAUGGCGAAGGCAGCUUCUUGGUCCAUAUCUGACGCCGAUGCACGAAAGCGUGGGGAGCAAAACAGGAUUAGAUACCCUGGUAGUCCACGCCGUAAAACGAUGAUCACUAGAUGUUAAUUCUGCUUGCAGAAUUAGUGUCGUAGCUAACGCGAUAAGUGAUCCGCCUGGGGGACUACGGUCGCAAGA
rnacentral:rRNA from 1 species